rnacentral:rRNA from 1 species
AUUCCAGCUCCAAUAGCGUAUAUUAAAGUUGUUGCAGUUAAAAAGCUCGUAGUUGGAGUUCAGAUUGAGCUCGGCCGGUCGGCCUAAUUGGUCAGAACUGGUUGACUCUGUCUUGUUUGUGGAUCCCUCCGGAGUUAACUCUUCGGAUGUGGAGUCCACAUCGUUUACCUUGAAAAAAUUAGAGUGUUCAAAGCAGGCGUUUGCUUGAAUAUAUUAGCAUGGAAUAAUGGAAUAGGACGCUGGUUCUAUUUUGUUGGUUUUGAGAACCAGAGUAAUGAUUAAUAGGGAUAGUUGGGGGUAUUCGUAUUCAAUUGUCAGAGGUGAAAUUCUUGGAUUUAUGGAAGACGAACUACUGCGAAAGCAUUUACCAAGGAUGUUUUCAUCA